CCUACGGGCGGCAGCAGUGGGGAAUAUUGGGCAAUGGGCGCAAGCCUGACGCAGCAACGCCGCGUGAAGGAAGAAGGCUUUCGGGUUGUAAACUUCUUUUGACAGGGAAGAGGAGAUGAAGGUAACUGUAGAAGAAGCCACGGCUAACUACGUGCCAGCAGCCGCGGUAAUACGUAGGUGGCAAGCGUUGUCCGGAUUUACUGGGGGUAAAGGGCGUGAAGCCGGGCUGACAAGUCAGAUGUGAAAUCCGGGGGCUUAACCUCCGAACUGCAUUUGAAACUGUUUGUCUUGAGUAUCGGAGAGGCAGGCGGAAUUCCUAGUGUAGCGGUGAAAUGCGUAGAUAUUAGGAGGAAUACCAGUGGCGAAGGCGGCCUGCUGGACGACUACUGACGGUGAGGUGCGAAAGCGUGGGGAGCAAACAGGAUUAGAUACCCCUGUAGUC
rnacentral:rRNA from 1 species